GGGUUGUGAGGUUAAGCGACUAAGCGUACACGGUGGAUGCCCUGGCAGUCAGAGGCGAUGAAGGGCGUGCUAAUCUGCGAUAAGCGCCGGUAAGGUGAUAUGAACCGUUAUAACCGGCGAUACCCGAAUGGGGAAACCCAGUGUGAUUCGUCACACUAUCAUUAACUGAAUCCAUAGGUUAAUGAGGCGAACCGGGGGAACUGAAACAUCUAAGUACCCCGAGGAAAAGAAAUCAACCGAGAUUCCCCCAGUAGCGGCGAGCGAACGGGGAGGAGCCCAGAGCCUGAAUCAGCAUGUGUGUUAGUGGAAGCGUCUGGAAAGGCGCGCGAUACAGGGUGACAGCCCCGUACACAAAAGCGCAUGUGCUGUGAGCUCGAUGAGUAGGGCGGGACACGUGGUAUCCUGUCUGAAUAUGGGGGGACCAUCCUCCAAGGCUAAAUACUCCUGACUGACCGAUAGUGAACCAGUACCGUGAGGGAAAGGCGAAAAGAACCCCGGCGAGGGGAGUGAAAAAGAACCUGAAACCGUGUACGUACAAGCAGUGGGAGCCCCACCACUAAGCCAGUGGUGAACUCCACAUCCGCAUCCUUUGCUGAGGAUACGGUUAACGGAGCGAAAGCGACGUUCAACCGCAAAACAAGCAGAGGGGGCUUAGUGGUGGGGUGACUGCGUACCUUUUGUAUAAUGGGUCAGCGACUUAUAUUCUGUAGCAAGGUUAACCGUAUAGGGGAGCCGGAGGGAAACCGAGUCUUAACCGGGCGUUAAGUUGCAGGGUAUAGACCCGAAACCCGGUGAUCUAGCCAUGGGCAGGUUGAAGGUUGGGUAACACUAACUGGAGGACCGAACCGACUAAUGUUGAAAAAUUAGCGGAUGACCUGUGGCUGGGGGUGAAAGGCCAAUCAAACCGGGAGAUAGCUGGUUCUCCCCGAAAGCUAUUUAGGUAGCGCCUCGUGAAUUCAUCUCCGGGGGUAGAGCACUGUUUCGGCUAGGGGGCCAUCCCGGCUUACCAACCCGAUGCAAACUGCGAAUACCGGAGAAUGUUAUCACGGGAGACACACGGCGGGUGCUAACGUCCGUCGUGAAGAGGGAAACAACCCAGACCGCCAGCUAAGGUCCCAAAGUCAUGGUUAAGUGGGAAACGAUGUGGGAAGGCCCAGACAGCCAGGAUGUUGGCUUAGAAGCAGCCAUCAUUUAAAGAAAGCGUAAUAGCUCACUGGUCGAGUCGGCCUGCGCGGAAGAUGUAACGGGGCUAAACCAUGCACCGAAGCUGCGGCAGCGAACGUAUCACCCAAGACAACUUUACGGAGUUGACGAUUGACGGAGCGAAGCGACGUCAAAGCGUUCAUUAAAGUCGAGUUGGCUUAGGGAUACGUUCGUUGGGUAGGGGAGCGUUCUGUAAGCCUGUGAAGGUGUGUCGUGAGGC
rnacentral:rRNA from 1 species